GAAAUCUCUUGGGGCUGAACUUGUGUUGAUGAAAGCUCAGAGUACACUUUCUGCUCUCACGGAGUGUGUCGAUGCUGUUGGAGCAACAAAAGUUGUGUAUAAUCAUCUAUAUGAUCCUGUUUCACUUGUUCGUGACCACAAUAUCAAGCAAAAGUUGGGGGAUCUUGGCAUAUCUGUUCAGAGCUACAACGGGGACUUACUGAAUGAACCAUGGGAAGUUUACGAUGAUGAUGGCAAAGUUUUUACAACUUUUGAUGCAUACUGGGAGAAGUCAUUAAGUAUACAGAACGAACCUGUUUCACAACUUCCUCCUUGGAGAUUAACUCAAGCUGCAGGAUCAGUUAAAAUGUGUUCAGUUGAGGAGUUGGGACUGGAAAACGAGUCAGAAAAAUCUAGUAAUGCAUUACUAGGGAAAGGAUGGGCACCAGGUUGGAGCAAUGCAGACAAGGCCUUAACCGAAUUUGUAGAGAGCAAUCUACUCGCGUACUCAAAGGAUAGGUUGAGAGUCGGGGGAAAUUCUACAUCCCUUUUGUCUCCUUAUCUCCACUUUGGAGAAGUAAGUGUGAGGAAAGUUUUCAAUAGUGUACGCUUGAAGCAGAUACUUUGGACCAAAGAAGGGAACUCUGUUGGAAAAGACAGUGCUACUAUUUACCUUAGAGCUAUUGGACUGCGAGAGUAUUCUCGUUAUAUCUGUUUUAAUUUCCCAUUUACUCAUGAAAGGUCGUUACUGAACAACCUGAGGUUUUUCCCUUGGAAUGCUGAUCAAGCCCAUUUUAAGGCUUGGCGACAGGGACGGACUGGUUAUCCAUUAGUCGAUGCAGGAAUGAGGGAGCUUUGGGCAACGGGAUGGGUUCAUAAUAAAAUAAGAGUGAUUGUGUCAAGUUUCUUUGUCAAGUUUUUACUUCUGCCAUGGCAAUGGGGGAUGAAAUACUUCUGGGACACACUCUUGGACGCGGAUUUAGAAAGUGACAUAAUUGGUUGGCAAUACAUCUCUGGUAGCUUGCCCGAUGGUCAUGAACUUGAGCGCCUCGAUAACCCAGAGGUUCAAGGAUUCAAUUAUGAUCCGGAGGGCGAAUAUGUGAGACAUUGGCUACCUGAGCUAGCAAGAAUGCCGGCUGAGUGGAUCCAUCAUCCUUGGGAUGCACCACUUAAUGUGCUCAAAGCUGCAGGGGUGGAACUCGGAAUGAAUUAUCCGAACCCCAUAAUUGAUGUAGAUGUUGCGAGGGAUCGUUUAAUGCAAGCUAUAAUUAUCAUGAGAGAAAAAGAAGCAGCUGUGAAUACUUCACAUGCAAAUGGAACUGUUGAAGUUGUGUUUGAUAACUCGGAAAAUGUUGGAGAUUCAGCCAGUAUUCCAAAGGACGACGUUGUAAAGGGAAAGGAGCCUUGCCCGAGCAGUUCAUCUUAUGAUCAAAGGGUGCCAUCAAUGCAAAAUGUAGGCACUUAUAGAAAGAGACCAAAGCCCGAAGAGGAAACAAAGAAGCUCAAUGAUAACAAGCUUAGCUACAAGAACGAAAGGAUCAAAAUGUCAAACGUGGACGGUGACUUGUGCUCUACUGCAGAAUCCUCUUCUAUGAAAAAACAGAUGACCGUCAGCAGAAACUCAUUCUCUGUACCUCGAACAAUUACCAUGUCUCACGACAGAAAAUCCUUUGAUGACGAAGCAUCAUCACAUGUGAAGCUACAAAAGGAAGAAGAGAUUGACACAUAAAUCAACUCGUGCAAAAAUGUUUCAAUCAUCAUGACCGGACCCUGUCUUCUUCUCUAUUUGCAGAAGCUACAACGCGAUGAUUCCCUCACCAUCUCCAAACAUCUGAUAGUUGAAUCAACAUAUGCAGUGGAAUGACGAUAUCCUGUUGAACAUUUCUUCGUGUAUAUAUAACUUUUUCUUAAUCGUAGCAAGGUUUGUAGUUUGUUUAACAUAGUACGCGAUAGAACUCAUCGUGAAGCAGCUCAGAUUCAUGGUUUAAUCUCUGCUUUGUUUAGUUACAUAUAUAGACCAUGCAUAUGUAAUCUUGAAUAUGAUUUGCUUUUU
rnacentral:misc_RNA from 1 species